CCAAACCGUUCUAUGAUUCUAUAUCCAUCUAUAGUAAAAUAUCUCUAGAUGCAUGCAUUGCACCUCUCUUUUCAGCAUCCUUUUGCAAAGCAGGCUGCAGGUCACUCAAAAAAUGAUGUAGGGAGUGAAGCAAAGGACAAGCAAUGUCCCAGCUUGUUACAUUUUAUUUUAUUAUUACAUGACUUUCUCCAGUUCAGUUGCUGCCAGACUGAGGCAGUCAGUGGUAGUGCACUGCUGGCAUGGGCCUUGGUGCAAAAAAUAAAACUGAGGGCAUGGGUGAGAAUGCCCUUUCCAUCCAACUUGCCUACCUGGCCCUGUGUUUACACUAGCCCAGUGCAUGGGUUCUUCUGGCCUUUGAGACUGAUGACAGCUACAAUAUGGGCAGGAAUACAGCCACCAGAAUUAUGGGCUACACAUCUCCUUCCAAAUAGCCAUGGAUCAAGCAUGCUAGAGAAGCACACCAUAGCUAUCUGUGUUCCCAUGGAGAGGUGUAGCAGGGAGCACAUCAGAACCUGCAACCUUUCCUGUUUCGCAUCAGCAUUACUGGCAGUUAGCCUCGCUGUACCGAAGCGCCCCCAGGAAGAGCAGGUCACCCACUCUGCCAGUAGGCUGGACUGUGGCACGUUCUCCCCUCCCAGAAUGUCCCAAUAACAUAAAUUACAACCUUUACCACACCUGGUACUGGCCUGAACUUUCUGGGAUGUGAAAGGGUUAUGAAGGGAUGGCAUGCAAUCCUGGCAGCAACAGUGAAGUGUUUUCCAGGUGGCUUCAGUGCCCACGUCUUCUAUGUCCUCUUUUAGUGACUUGCAGAGUAAUGGUUUUCCUUCUCAUCCCAUGGAGGGUGAAGGGAAGUAAAAGCUCCUUCACAUUCUGCUUUGAGCUUACUAAUGCAAUUUAAUCUAAUCUAAUCUAAUAUGCAAUGAAACCUACCAAGAAAAAUGAAAUAUAACAAAAUAUAUACUAAAAUACAACUGAGUUCCACACUCACCUAUCAGGAGCUUUCUUGAUCGAUCAGAUGUUUUUUUCUCUAAAGCCGAAAAGACUAUGAAAAGUUGACUUUUUUUCCUCCAGGGGUGCAAUAAUUUGAUUAAUCUUUAUAUAAAUUUGAGUAAUUGACAAAUACUCUAAAUUUGACCAGAAUUUUAUCAAUAAGCCUCCUAUUCAGGAGAGAAAGUUUUCUGUGGGUAGCAAUUUGUAUUUUUCAAAUGGCUGGAAAAUAUAAUGAAGAGCAGAGGGAAGGCUACAUUGACAAGGAGCUGCAGAAGCAGAGAGAUGUAGGAAGGAAAAAAAAAUGGAAAGGCAGUGAUGGGGCUUGAAGAAGAUGCCAUAUUGGUGAGGCCUUGACAAGACAGUCAAGAAGCAGAGGAAACCUGUGACCACUGAGAGCAGUGCCUGCAGCUCACAGCCACUCUCUGAUGCAAUAAUCUGUUAUCUUAAAGCUUCUGCCGUAGGACACCGGCAGAAGGCAGUGCAGAUCACAUCAACUGUGGGCUUUUUUUUGCUGCUACUCUCUGGUAGCCAUCUUACUGCAGUUUUAGGUGUGAAGGUGUGGCCUCCCCUUAAAUCCUUCUCAGAAUGUAGCCCAGAGUGGAAGGGAGAUAAAGUUUUACGGAAAAUGGUUAAAGCACAACAAUCUGUUCAUUAUGGAUGAUUAGCUAUUUUUUCCUCUUCCUCUCAUUGUUAUAGGUCUCUUUCUCCAUUCUACAGCUGAUCAGAACAUCACAGUGAUGUUCUCUUCUGGGUCUGGAGUGGAAAUAAGGGGAAGUGGAGGAUUUCUGACCCUGACAGUUCUGCUCCCAGAGAAGUUUAUGAAUCACACAGAGGGUCUCUUUGUGGUAAUGAAUGGCAACACAGACGGUGAGUAUACCUUCAAGAAUAAACCCACCAUGUCAGUUCAUGCAAGUCUCCAGCAGUUGUUUGAGUUUGGAGCUAACUGUAAGUAAUUUCUCUGAUUUAUUAUUACAUUUUCUUUACAAAUUCAGAACAGCUUGUGAUUUACAGACUAGCAAAUGAAGUCUGUGCUAAGCAACCUGUACUAGGGGAAGAGAAGGGAGUAAGAAAAGUAUACCCUCCUCUACUCAAGUGGGUACCUAGUCGAUUGAAGGCAGAACCAUGAUGGAGCGUCCUGCACUUUGUUCCAUCAGAGUCAGAGCUCCUAUUCCACAGCUUACAUUUUCAGAAUUUUAUCUACUAUGGUCAGCUGAACACAGCAUCACCAGACUACAGUGUUACAGAAGUAUAGCAAUAGCCAGGGCCAGCUAUCUUUUUUCCAGAAUAUUAGCAAUGUUUCCUUCAAAUACCAUGGUAGCAAUUUAAAAAUUUUUUCAUUAAAUCACAAUUUAAUAAUUGUCCUUUUAAAAAAAUGACUCUCUGUGUGUGUGUGUGGCUGUGUGUAAAAGAACAGCUGCUUUCAUUUAAUGAAAGUGAUUAGGCUGCUGUAUCUAGCCUACAGCAUUACACUGGUCAGCGUUCCUCCUGACAUCAGGUUUAGGAGAUGGGCCAGAAACACAAAGCAAAAUACCCACCAGCUACCAGCCGAUCUCUUUAUCUAGCACAGUGUAGCUGUACCCCAGGAUUCAGAUCAUACUGAAAAGUCUCACUGCUCCUACUUCAGCAAGUUUGCGAUUUAGCGGAGUGAAAACAAAAAGCAGGACCAGGCAGACAUGAUAAAUUUAGGGACACAAAGGAUUAGGAUUUGGGUUGCUUGUAAUAUUUGAUUUAGCUAGCUCCCUCUGAGGUACUUUUUUAUCACCAUUUUGCCAGCAAGCAUCUAAAACCAUCUUUAUGUGAAAUCAUAGCUACAUAAUUACUUGGACCUGAUUUUAAGUAAUUGAUCAAACACUAACUUUAAUGCUAAGUUUAAAUGCUGCAUAUGAAAAGGAAAACAAUCACCAGCUGGAGGCAACCUGUAGGGCUUCAUAGAUCUCUUCCAGCUCUAUCUGUGUUUACACAACAAAGCACUCAGAUAAGCAGCAGAAGGUGGUACAGGUCUGUAGGCAAUGUUACAUAUGCAUCUCUCUCCUUCUCCAUCUCCCAAAUGACUGUUGAAAAUGGAACUUCUCUCUUUACUUACGACACAGAGUUCUUACUGAACAAUUUCUUCUAUGGGGAAAAGCACAGUGCUUCCUUUCUACCUGUAUUCUUCCCUUAUAAAGACCCUGAUGAUCCCCUGCUGAAAGAGAUGGUCUUGCUAUGUGACUCUGACCGAUGUCCUGACAACAAGAAGCCUUGAAGAGGGAAGUUCCACAAGACUCUCUCAUCAGAUUCACAAGCUGCCAGUAGAGAAUGUAGAGACAGGUGAUACAACUUUCCCACAAAGCAUCCAACGCUACAGUUCUAUUCUUUCUACCAGGCACCUAAAUAGUUAACACUGUUUGAGGAGGCUUUGGUCAAUUGUAGGUUCAUGCAUCUGUAAACACUCUCAUUGGAGGGAAUUGCCCUUAUACCAGGAAACCUUUGCACAAAAUACAUUUCUUUCCAUUUCUUCCACUACUAAACCACUGUGUAUCUUCAUUUUCUAUGCUUCAUUGGUCUUACUCAGACUUAAAAAAGAAAAUAAGUCAGGAGGUAUUGUCUUUCAGUUAGCCUAAAAACCUUCUUCUUUCCAUGAGCUGCCACUAAAAUGCCAUAUGAAUUACUGUGAUGGAGAUUUGCUAAUCAAAAUCCAAAAUACUUUAACCAGAUACGUCUCCUUUACUAGUGAUCUCUCAUGGCUGGCUAGAUCAUCCAAACAAUGUAAGAAAGAAUGGAACUACCUGCUGGGCUCAACCAUCAGUUUCAUCUACAAUGAGGGCUAUGAACUCACUGGGUCAAAUGAAAGAAUCUGCCAAGUGACAGGGGCAUGGUCUGGAGACACACUGAGCGGCACCCUGAGAACAGACGAGGAUACCAAAAAACAUUAGGCCUUCUUAUUAUGGAAUCAUUGUCUGCCUAUCGUUUUCAGGAGACUAGCUGCAAAACUAGCUUGCAAAAUCAAGAAAUACAAGCUGCGAUUUUAAAUUGAAUACAAGGAUUUCACAAUAGAGACAAAUCACCAUUGGACCAAACUAUGAAGCCAGUGGUGGGUUCUCAUCACUCAGCAGAGAUGGAGUACCUGCAUGUAAGGUGUGUGUAAGCCAAACAUAAGAUUUUGAGCCUUGUACAGAAGUUACUGGAUGAAGGACCAAAGCCUGUGAAACAGUUCAUGUAUCCCGCUUCUUUCCUUAAACUAGGGUAUAAAUCAAAUUAGAAACCAAAUUUUCUAUUCUAGGAUCACAGAAGUGUCUGUCACAUCACUCUGCCAUCACUGUGUGCCAGGCUGUACUUUGGGCAGUUCUUCCUGCAGGCAUGACAAAGCAAUGCAAGGAAGGGCUGGCAAAAACGCAGCCCAGAUGCAUUAAAGCUCAGAUGCACCACUGUUGGCCUAUCUCUGAUUAGGCUGCAUGCUCCCUGAUACAUACCGAUACUGCUAUCACUAGGUACAGAAAAAGGGCAGAGCCUUGAAUCUACUUUGACCGUAGGAUACUACAGUGUCUCAGAGCCAUGGAAUUACACUUCUGUCUGACUCUGUGACACUGAGCCGGGGACAAAGAUUGCUGACACAAGGACUUAAAAUUUUUCAAUGGUGCUACUCCAGCAGGUAUUUCCUUAAAGGAUACAAAAUUCAGGAAGCAUUGUUUCUCCCAGAAAGUUCACUCGAGACGCUGCAUCUCCUAAACUUUUACCAAUCCUCUCAUGUGUCAUGAAAAAUUUACUUGCCUACCUUUACCCUCCGUUGUUCACCACAGCCAUACAGCAUCUUGCUAGCACCAUCCUACAUCAGUAAGACAGUGACAGAACCGGUAUUAUGCAUGUAUUUAGUAGAAUAAGAAAACAAGAGGAGAUCUAUUAUUCAAAAUUUGCUUCCUAUCUGGCUUCUUUCUGUCUUUCAUGUGUCCUCAUUAUGCAGUCACAGAAAGAAAAUGACACUUUUAGCAUGUUCAUCCUGUACUCACGUCAGAACAGUCACUUCUGGCUCUCUUUUACAUAGACCAUUAAGCAGCAGAGGCAGUUUCAAAAUUAUAAUUCCAAAAUAGGGGCAAUUUUUAAAGCAAUCAAACUGUAUGGAGAAAGGAUCAAAAAAGAUCUCCUCUCACUCAUCUCUUCUGCAGGCUAAACAGGUCCAACUGUCUCAGCCUUUCCUCAUAAGAGAAAAGCUGCAGUCCCCUAAUCAUCAUCAUAACCCUUCACUGGACCCUCUCCAGUAGUUUCUUGUCUUUCUUGAUCUGGGGAGUCCAGAACUGGACAGAGUGCUCCAGAUGGAGCCUCACCAGCACAGAGUAGAGAGGGAGGAUCACCGCCCUUGACCUGCUGGCCACACUCUUCCUGAUGCACCGUAGGAUACCAUUUGCCUUCCUGGCCACAAGGGCACACUACUGCUGGCUCACGGGUUAACUUGCUGUCCACCAGGACUCCCAGGUCCUUCUCCGCAGAGCUGCUUUCCAGCAGGUCAGCCCCUAACUUGUGCUGCUGCAUGGGGUUGUUCCUCCUCAAGUGCAGGACCUUGCACUUACCUUUGUUGAAUUUCACUGGGCUCCUCUCCACCAAACUCUCCAGCCUGUCCAGGCCUCACCAAAUGGCAGCACAGCCUCUGGUCUAUCAGCUACUCCUCCCAGCUUUGUAUCACCAGCAAACUUGCUGUGGGUACGCUCUGGCUCUUCACCUGGGUUAUUGAUCAAUAAGUUGAAUAAGACUGCACCCACUACUGACCUCUGGGGAACACCACUAGCUGCAGGCCCACAUUCGUGGCGUGGACUACAAAUUAACCGCUAGCCAUCCUUCCUUUGUGUUCGAACAGCUUCUGCAGCCACUUGCUGUAACUGUCAAAUGUAGGAAUUACGUAUUUCUACUCUACCAGUUUGUUCCACAAAUACAAAGAACAGUAAAAUUAACAGCAUAUGUACAAUUUAAAAAAUUGUCACGUGACUACAUUCAAAGAGAUAUGAAGAAAUGUAUCGAUGUGUUCCUGAUGUGGGGUUUCUGGUGCUUAGAUUUGUACCUUUUUUUUUUUUUUUUCUUUUUUUGCUGUUUUUCAGAGAUCAGAUAAAGUAAUGCUGCUUGGCUGUGUAUGUGGAAGAGUUAGUCUUGCAGUUCUGACACGCCUGACUUUCUUAUGUAGGAAGGAAAGGUAGGCCUCAAUUGAGCUGAAAACACAGAUGAACCUGCUAGAGAAACAGCACGUGUUAUGACCUUUUUAAUAGUUUUUCUCAAUGACAAAGAAAUCUAACAUGGUAUUUUCCUGCUACUAUCUGUUAUGAAAAAACAUCAAUUCUGGAUAAUUCCUGUGUCCUGCUGGAAGACUAUGAAGCAAAGUUGGAACUGUAUUAUCAGGACAUGCAAACAUGAGAUUCAUUGAUUGACUGAUAAAAAACAUGACUUUUUGGUCAAAAUAAUUUAUUUGCUGAGUGAUAAGGCUCGGCAUUAAAAGUGUUCCGUUUCAGAACAGGUGUGCUUAUAAUACCAAUAGGUAAAUUUGAUGCAUCAUCCAAGGAAUGCAUUGCACGAUAAUGUAACUUUCCACAUAUCUUUGAACAUAUUCCCACUUUAAUGCAUGCAUGAAUUUGCCUAGAAAAUACUUAUAUGUCUCUUGUGCCAAACAGGCGAAUAGAAUUUAAAACUAUAUCAGUUUGCUGCCCAUUCAUGGAGCCUUUCUACCACACAGAAAUAAACUUGCUACAAAAACUAUUAAAAUUUUAAAAGAAAUCUCUACAAAACGUUACGUGGCUAAUAAAUUACUUCCCAGAGGUUUUACUACUUUGUUUUAAAAAGUUGUUAUGUUUUCAUAAAUUAUGUAUAUAGUUCAGUCUGUUAGCCAGUGCUGUUUUUGGCCCUGUGCCUUUCUAACAGGUUUAUCAUUUCAGAGACUCUUAAACCAGAACCCAGUAUGAGAGCUAUGCCCAUCACUGAAAAUACAGCCCAUUGAUUGAGUUCAGCCAUCACCUGUGUCUGUCAGAGGGCCAGAGACUGCUAAAUUUUGCUCCUUCCCUUUAAAUCACAUAAACAUUGUUUCCUACACUUCACAGAGAACGUUCAUACCCCAAACACUUUUUCUUCGUCCCCUGUACAAAAAAUGGACACUCCACACACUGUAGAUAACUGCAGCAAUUAAUGGUUUUUGCAUAUAUAAAAGUGCACAGAUAAAGGACACCUCCUGUAUUUGCCAGAUUUCACAUACACCAGAUUCCCACAUAAAAACCCAACUUGUUAAAGCACUACCAUUACAGCUGCAUAGACAUCUCCCAUUUGGGAGCAGCUUACAGACCUGCUGCCCUAAACUCAGAAUUGUACAUUAAAAAAUAAUUUAAAAAAAUAGAAUAAAGCCAUCAACCUUUCUAAACUCUUGUAUAUUUUGCAAAUCUGUAGGUAUUUUUCAUAUGCUACAAAAAGCUUAUAAUUUAUGAAAAAAAAAAAAAUUGAGAGAGUUUAAUGAAAGUCCAUAGCACUCAGCAGGGCUAUGUAUUUGGGUAGCAAUAGAAGAUGCAGUCCUUUGUGUAGCAGUAACAUAUUCCGAACAGGUAAUUUUUAACUAGGGAAAACUUAUCAGACAAUUAUUGAACAAUUAACUUCUGUCAUCUACUGGAUACUCCUCUGGAUCUCAGGGUAAAUGUAACUCUAUGACAAGUCAUAUGCUUCAUAUAAGAAGCGGAAGAAGUAGUCCUACAUACUGUAGGUCUUUGAAAACUUCUGCCUCUGCAUCCAGCUCUGCCAAUCAUCUAGAAAAGGAGCUGCUCUCAGUGUUCACAGCUAGGACCAGACUUGCAUAGUAAGGUAGAGUGAAGUAUCUUAAAAAGCAGCAAGACCAACAGAAAUAUACAGAAAUCCUAAUCAUUGAAUGCUACACGCUUUUAGAUGUCUUUCUCCUUUAACAAACAGAAAACCAAGUAGGGGCUAUAUUUUCAGGCUCUCUCUAGUGACAUUUGUAUCCUCAGAGUGAAAGAUAAGUUUCUCAGACCAUCACAUGAUUCCAAGAGCAGCGAUUCGAGGGGGUGGGGUGUGUGUGCAGAAUCACAGUAUUUAGAAAACAAAUCGCAGGAAAUCAAAAUACCAAGGUGCUCAGUAAACUGGCUUAUACUCUUCCCUAGCAGUUAGUUGUGAGGGUUCCAUGUAGUCACAAAUGUAUCUAUUAAUAUUUUGGUGAUAUGUUUCUCUUAGAGGGAAGGGGGAGGCAGGGGGGGGGAAGCCAAUAGCGGGUGCCGAAUUCACCAAAUUCACCACAGAACUGAACUCCACUUCCCCCAUCUUUCUUGUACUCAAAACCCAACCUUCUUUCCAGACCCUAUUAGAGUUUUCAAAAGUGACAUUUGUUCAGUUUCUCCUUUUGCUCCUGUAAUUUAGACCACUGUACUAGAAAACAGAAAUUGACUGUUGCACAGGGAUAACAGCAAACCUUCAGUGUUCUCUAAUUUCAUCAAAUGUUGCUCAAAUAAAAGGAAUGCUGCACAUAUGCUGCAGACACUACUUUUAGUAUGUAAAUAUUGUUCCUUGGGGGACGUAUGCACUAGAGUUACACAGAACUGGUACUUUAAAAAUUGGUACAUUACUAUUCCACAUAACCAAAUAUUCUCACUUUGAUCAAAGCAAUGACAUUACGAUAACUACUUUAACAGUCAUCUCUGUUUUUAAGAAAGCCUUUCAGGUUUUCUUAAAAAACUUUUGUCUUUUCUUCCAAAGACACAAAUGCAACCAGAAACUUGUUUCAGAAGUUCCACUUGUAUCUGAACAAGAAACAGUGAAACUCCAGAGGGAUUUUAACGAAAUACAGAAAAAGCACAGCAGAGGAUUAAGUUGUCCACAGCAACAUAAACUUUCCAAAUACAAUGGUUUUAUACAGUAUGCUAUCAUUUGAUUUCUGCUUUCGAUAUAACUAGUGUUGAAUUUUAUGUGAAAUGCUAACCAACUUCCUGGGAUUGUAUCACAGCAGGCUCAGCCUGCUGUCUAUCACGAGCAAAGGAUAAUGCUUCUAGAAGCAUUACUCUCAAAGUUAUGGGCAUUUGUUCCUUCUAACUGUCACGUUUCUGCCAGCAGAACUGCAGUUCUGACAAAAAUCAAGAGUUCAUGGUUUCACUGCACUUCUAUUAGUUGAAAGCUGGAAAAAUAGCUAGCCUAGUAUGCUAGCUAUUAACUGAGGAAAAUUUGUCUUCUCUGGGGCCAUAUAGAUUUGUCUUGUCUGGGCUGAUGUAGAUAGAUGUGAAAGUGGAUGCACGGCCAGAUGACUACUGGCAAGUUGGGUUGAAUUUGCAGAUGGUUGGGUGAUUUUUAGUAGGAAGGAAGAGAUACUGAAGAUACUCAAACAUUGCAUUCUUACAUCUGGGCAAGUCUCUGAAUAUUGGCUCAAAGCGGCAUUUGUGUUUCAGUUCUGACCCAAUUUUAAAAUGAUACACUUAGGAGGAAGGGAGAGGAAGUACUCGGACAAUGAAACCUUUCCUUCCAGGUUAAUUUUAAUGUUUGGUUUUUUUUAAUCCACCUUUAUUCAACUGUCCAGUAGGAGUCCAUCUUCAAAACAAAAAAAAUCUGUUACCCACACUGGAAAUGUUUUGCAAAACUUGCACUGUUUUUCUUGUAUAACUGCAACAUGCAUACUGUUUGGGGAGAGGGGAUUAAUAUCCAGCUGUACUACAGUAUGUUUCAUUAUCUUCAUUAAAAAGUGAUUUCUGAACUA